rnacentral:rRNA from 1 species
CCAGAACACAGGUGCUGCAUGGCUGUCGUCAGCUCGUGUCGUGAGAUGUUGGGUUAAGUCCCGCAACGAGCGCAACCCUUGUCACUAGUUGCCAUCAUUUGGUUGGGCACUCUAGUGAGACUGCCGGUGACAAACCGGAGGAAGGUGGGGAUGACGUCAAGUCCUCAUGGCCCUUAUGGGUAGGGCUUCACACGUCAUACAAUGGUCGGUACAGAGGGUUGCCAAGCCGCGAGGUGGAGCCAAUCCCUUAAAGCCGAUCGUAGUCCGGAUCGUAGUCUGCAACUCGCCUACAUGAAGUCGGAAUCGCUAGUAAUCGCGGAUCAGCACGCCGCGGUGAAUACGUUCCCGGGCCUU